AGAAUGCCAUCGGUUCGAUAGUUGUUUAAGAUUGUUGGACGCGUGUGGAUGUGCGGUGAACGGUCGAAAAUCGUAAUAAUAAUAAUUAAUAUAAAGAAGCACCGCAAAUGCAUACAAAAAGCAAACGCCGCAUUCAAUUAUUCAACGUAUAAACGUUAUUUAUAUAAAGUCUGAUAAUUGCCUAAUUAAAGGGAACGACUUAUUUUGUUAAAGAAUUGAAACGUAGCCAAAGUAUUUAAAGCGAGAGAGCGGCAAAUAGAAAUUUGCCACCAACACAUUUUUUUUAUUAUUGCUUCCUAUCCAAAUUCGUGCAUCGCGUGUGUUUUACGCGGCAUUGUUGACGCGUGUGUGUGUGUGCGUGCGUAUUCAACACAAAGAGAGUGCGAGAGAUAUAGCAAAAAUACUUUUGCUGCAACUUUUUGGUGCCAUACUCACUAAGGAAACUUUCGUUAUACGUACGUGUAUAUACCUCGUACGUGUGUGUGUGUGUGUGUGUGCAAGUGCAAGGCACGUGAAUGUCGCUGAAAAACCAACAAGCCUAUCAACCGCUACCAACUGCCGCGGCCGCCAUGGACAAUCCGGCGAUGAGCAACAGUAGUAGUAGCAGUGGAAGUAACGAGGAUGUUGCCCGACUAGCUCAGAAUGGGAUACCUCCGACAUACUCGUCACAACAGCUGGUUUCGUCAGAUUCUGAUUCCAUGGAACACCAUCGCUUGCAUGGAAACGGUAUAGUCCCCCAACCCCGAUCAAGACCAGCCAUAAGCAAAAGACAAUGGCUGACAAUAUCGGUGCUCUGCUUUGUUAAUCUCAUUAACUACAUGGAUCGUUUCACAAUUGCGGGUGUUUUGGAGGACGUGAAGAAAACCUUUGAUAUAGACAAUGAUUCUGCAGGCCUCUUGCAGACAGUAUUCGUCUUAUCUUAUAUGGUUUUCGCGCCACUCUUUGGUUAUUUGGGCGAUCGGUAUUCGCGUCGUUGGCUAAUGGUUGUGGGCGUGGCUCUAUGGUCAACAACCACACUGUUGGGCUCGUUCAUGAAAAACUUUGUAGGCUUCAUAACGUUCCGCGCCUUGGUCGGCAUCGGCGAAGCCUCCUAUAGCACCAUAGCCCCGACGAUUAUCUCCGAUUUGUUUAUAGAUAGCAUGCGCUCCAAAAUGCUGGCUUUCUUCUACUUUGCCAUUCCAGUGGGCUCCGGAAUGGGCUAUAUUGUGGGAUCAAAGACGGCUGAACUGGCCAACGAUUGGCGCUGGGCAUUGCGUGUCACGCCCAUUUUGGGCGUUUUCGCCGUCGUGCUGCUGGCGCUGCUGAAGGAUCCGAAGCGUGGCGAAAGCGAAGGCGUCGCACAGGUGGAACGCGAGAGCUUCUGGGUGGAGAUCAAGGAUCUGCUCACGAAUCGCACCUUCAUUCUGUCGACAGCUGGCUUCACCUGUGUCGCCUUUGUGACCGGCGCCCUGGCCUGGUGGGGUCCCAACUACAUUCAUCUCGGCCUCAAGAUGCAGCCAGGCAACGAAAACCUCAAGCAAGAAGACAUCUCCUAUAAGUUUGGCCUGGUCGCAAUGGCCGCUGGCCUGAUUGGUGUCCCGCUGGGAUCGGUGCUGGCCCAGCACUAUCGCACCCGCGUCGCCAACUGUGAUCCCUAUAUAUGCGGCAUCGGAUUGUUCGUAUCGGCGCCGAUGGUCUUCAUCGGUCUGCUCAUGGCCCGCAGCAGUGCGACGCUCUGUUUCCUUUUCGUGUUCGGGGCGCAGGUGGCGCUCAAUCUCUGCUGGUCCAUUGUGGCCGAUAUAUUGCUGUACGUGAUUGUGCCAUCCCGCCGCUCCACUGCCGAAGCCUUUCAAAUACUCGUAUCUCAUGCACUCGGAGAUGCAGGCAGUCCGUAUCUGGUGGGCGCUAUAUCGACGGCCAUUAGAAACAGAAUGAUCGCCGAGUCGAACACCGUUAAUGAUGCGAUGAUAAAAAGCAUGUCGCAAUUGGCGGAAAAUGCCACGGAAUUUUACUCAGAUAACCUACCCUCCAGGUCUGCGGUGGACCUUUCAACAUUCGAAUCGUUGCAAUAUUCGCUAUUCUCCACCACAUUUGUUGAGGUGUUGGGCGGCGUCUUCUUCCUUAUUACCGCCUGUUACAUUGUUAAUGACAAGGCAAAGGCGACAGCUGCCGUACUGGCUGACAACGACUCGAGAUCGGCGCCCGAUCCAUCCAAUCCGAAAGCACUUUUCGAAGCGGAAUGCCUGGUCAAUUUCACAGACAUUGCAUUGCGAGAGCGCGCGUGAGCAGCUUAAAGAGGCUUUAAACUAGGUUUCCUUUCUUGUUUGAUAGCCACAAAAACAACUUUCGAAUACAGUGCGCAGCAGCAGCAGCAGCAGCAGCCGCCGCAGCAGUCGCCGCGCAGCCGCAAUGCCUAAUAUCAGCCGAUCCAAGAAGCUUUGCUACGCACUCAGCGCGAAGGGAUUCUGUGUGAAUUGGCACUGACUGAUUAUCAUCUUUAAAAUUUGUAUUCAUAAACGAAUCAUCAUGCAUUUUUAGUAGAUUCCCAUAAAGGUCGAAAUACGUAUUUUCUUUGCUUCAUUUUAGUAUUUGUUUCUAAGCCACAUGAGCAUAAGCAAUAUGUUUUAUAGAAUGGCGCAUGUUCCUAUGCAUACAUACAUACAUACAUACAUGCAUAUGUAUAUGUACAGACACAUACACUCACACACACAU